rnacentral:snoRNA from 1 species
AUUCCAUGAUGAGGACAUUCUGUGAUGUAAUCUUGAAAGCGCUCCUAGGCCUCUAGGACUGUCUCGUCAUUGUGUUGCUGAAAACUUUAUAUUUUCCCUCUGUUGAC